UACGUAGGGGGCAAGCGUUGUCCGGAUUUAUUGGGCGUAAAGCGCGCGCAGGCGGUCCUUUAAGUCUGAUGUGAAAGCCCACGGCUCAACCGUGGAGGGUCAUUGGAAACUGGGGGACUUGAGUACAGAAGAGAAGAGUGGAAUUCCACGUGUAGCGGUGAAAUGCGUAGAGAUGUGGAGGAACACCAGUGGCGAAGGCGACUCUUUGGUCUGUAACUGACGCUGAGGCGCGAAAGCGUGGGGAGCGAACAGG
rnacentral:rRNA from 1 species